CAGUGUUUCAAAAAUGUAAUAACUGAAUGAGACGGCGUCUUCCACGAAAAUCAGGAAAUUGCGUAUGCAUCGGGAAAUCUAGUAUUUGUAUGCAUUGUGUGCACAGUAUUUGGUUAUAACCUUGUAUCGUUUGAACGUGCUGACUUAUUCGCGUGAGGAAUAAGAGCGUGCCUAUGCCAUCCGCCAAAUUCGACGUAUGAAUAUUCAAUGGACGUAUCAUUCGAAUAUCGACAGUGCUCAUCGAGGGUUAUUCCUGUAACGUGUCAUGUUGGUGUCAUUACAUCGGAAGCAGUCGCACGCUGAUAUAUGCAGCAUAUACAUAUUGGUGCACACGUGAAUGAGCAUCCUGGACAAAAUUGAUUGCGGCGUCGAAUCCGCGGAUUGACACUAGUGAAGCAGCCAGUGGAUUGCCGUCAUCGAUACGCUCCGAUAAAGUUUUGUGCUAGUGAAUCGUCAAAUUCGUUCUACCGUAAUUUCAUUAUUGUAAGACAAUGAAAUAUGUGUCGGGAGUGCCGUAAUAGUCUCGCGCGAGUUCGAAAUGUCGAAUUUAGCGAGUCUAUAGACAAACGUAUUUUCCUCGAAUGCAACGACAAA